AGUUUGAUCCUGGCGUACAGGAUGACGCUGCGGCGUGCCUACACAUGCAAGUCGACGAUCUGUAUUGAACUAGUGAUAUACAGGUUAGUGGCGACGGGUGAGUAACGCGUGGAUAACCUGCCGUAUACCGGGGGAUAACACUUAGAAAUAGGUGCUAAUACCGCAUGAGCGCACAGCUCCGCAUGGAGCGGUGUGAAAAACUCCGGUGGUAUACGAUGGAUCCGCGUCUGAUUAGCCAGUUGGCGGGGUAACGGGCCCACCCAAAGCGACGAUCAGUAGCCGGCCUGAGAGGGUGAACGGCCACAUUGGGACUGAGACACGGCCCAGACUCCUACGGGAGGCAGCAGUGGGGAACAUUGCACAAUGGGGGAAACCCUGAUGCAGCGACGCCGCGUGAGUGAAGAAGUAUCUCGGUAUGUAAAGCUCUAUCAGCAGGAAAGAUAAUGACGGUACCUGACUAAGAAGCCCCGGCUAACUACGUG
rnacentral:rRNA from 1 species